rnacentral:rRNA from 1 species
GACGAACGCUGGCGGCAGGCCUAACACAUGCAAGUCUGGCGAGCGGCGGACGGGUGUGUAAUGUAUGGCGUUCUGCCUGAUGGAGGGGGUUAACUACUGGAAACGGUAGCUAAUACCGCUUACCAUCAGAUGACCCCAUAUGGGAUUAGCUUGUAGUUGAGGUAACGGCUCACCUAGGCGACGAUCCCUCGCUGGUCUGAGAGGAUGAUCAGCCACAUUGGGACGUAGACACGGCCCAGACCCCUACGGGAGGCAGCAGUGGGGAAUAUUGCACAAUGGGCGCAAGCCUGAUGAAGCCAUGCCGCGUGUAUGAAGAAGGCCUUCGGGUUGUAAAGUACUUUCAGUCGGGAGGCGUUACCGACAGAAGAAGCACCGGCUAACUCCGUGCCAGCAGCCGCGGUAAUUC